GCCACUGAGAAGCGGAAUGGGUGAACUUAACCACUGUGCCACCGGGCCAGCCCCAAUUUUUUCAUUAAAGAUGAAUUUUAAGCAUAUUUUUUGGAAGAUGCCGUGGAGGACAUUGCACGUAAGAACUCCGUUAUUCAAACAUCCCGUUGUUCCCUAAACCGGGAACAGGGCUCCUUACAGCCCUUCCUCAGACUCUCACGGAACACGGCGCAGAGCCCUGGCUAGCUGGGCAACUCUGAGCGUCCCAAGCUGCUUGACCACACAGCAGCUCUGCAGCGACUUCCCUGGUGAGCUCCCCGGGUGCAGCUGUGGGCUGCGGGAUGUCACUCGGGAGGAAAUAUUGCACCUAUAAUACCAAGUAUAGCUUAAUUUUAGAAAUUCAUGAGAAUUUUCACGUUGAAAAAAUAUUGGACCAGCUACAUGUCCCAACUUAGGAAUCAGAAAAUGAGGCAUCAUGCUGAGAGCACAUAGCACUUCACAGGGGGUGUUAUCAUUGCAGGAGGGGUAGAUCUUACUACCUCAAGAGCCGCCUGUGGCUCUCACACUUACCUGAGCGCUCUCUCUUCCCGAGUGGGGCCAAGCUAAUGCCGCGUGUCCACUGAGACUAUGUUCCUCCGCACACUGCUGGACCCUAACUCCCAGCCCCCUUAGCAGUCAGAUGGGCCGACUAAUAGUUCUGGCAAGCGGAGUGUGGGCAGAAGCGAUGUGCAUCAUAUUCCAGCCAGAAGCCUCCCACCGGGUCCUCCACGCUCCUUCACUCUCCUCCUCUGCCUCCCGGAUCCUGAGCUCCUGCCGACAGCUCCAGGGCCCUCGCCGUGGAAGGAGCAUGGGUCUCUGAAUGGCUGUGUGGGCACCGCACCCCUGCCCCAGCCCUCAGCCAAGCCUCCGUGGACGGGGAUGUGCGUGAGAAAUCCCCCUUUACUGCGGUACGCCACCGAGCUUUGGGGCUGCUGGUGAGAGCCAACCACGCGGACUGACCCAUCACGGCAUCUACAGCACCUGAGAGAGAUUCAGAAGGCCGGUGUCGAGUGAGUGAAGUCACUGAGAGAGCUGAGAAUUGAUGGCUCUGUGCCACAUAGGUGGGUCCAUACACCAUCAAGUAAGAGUUUCAAACAUCAGGCCCAGUUCCUGGAGCUAAUCUGGUCAUCAAGGGACCCAGUGGUGGUGCCAGUAGGACCCACUCCCGCUGACCCCCGUAACAGAGAUCUGGAGGGGACUCAGCCUCAAGCAAACAGCACUUCUUGGAUCUGGACGGGUGUGCCCAGUUCUGUGCUCACCCCCAGACAGUCGAGGGGAGAGGCACUCCCGAGGGCACAGACGCACCUGUCCCCUGGCAGGGCCAGCCUCUGAGGCUCUCCACGGCAGCUCUGCAUCUAGGCAGGGCCUCUUCACGGAGGCUGGCUCGGCCAAGGUGUGGACCUCAGCUUGUUCUAGUUGGCAGAACUCCACCAACCGUCAACACACGCUGUCCUCACCUCACCUCCAGCCCAGCCAGCCUAAACUUUAGCCAGAACCUCAGGGAGAGGCUGCACACGGGCAGGCCGGCUGGGCGGGGAGGAGGGGCAGAAAGCCAGGGCCGGGUGCCAGCAACCCCUGCCAAUUCCUUGUGGCCCAGCGUUGUAGGAAGCGAUUCAUGAGGGGGAGGAUCUGUCACAAGGUGAGGCUGCACUGAGUCACUGGAGGCGGAUUGUUGAGUGUCCACGCGUGCAGGCUGCUCCGGGGCUGGGGUCCCCUCACAGCAGAGAGAGGAAGCUCACAAACAGACCGGUACAACACGAUGUGAUCAAGUGUUGUUAGGCUGUGCACCUGUGCAAGUGGAGCAGCGAGGAAAGAGCACACCUGCCUCGGCCUGCAGGUGGGCAGGGAGGCUGCCGGAGAAGGUGUGGCACGUGCCCUUGAGUCCUGCCGGCUUCGCCGUGGAGCUCCAUGUCCCCGUACCCACUGCGGGCUCUGCUGCAGGCCCUGCUCUCUGCUUGAGGCUACCCAGGGCCCGCUCAGCCUGUCCUUGGGGGCCCGAGAGCUCAGAGUUGACUGCCUGCCUGGGGAGCAGAGCUCAGCAGAGAUGGGGGCAAUGGGGAGGUCAAAGUGUAAAACACCCACUUCCCAGGCCCCUUUCCUCCCAGAGGGGACAUUGGCCCCCAAAAUCCCCAGAGGCUGUGCUCCAGGCAUCCACAGUGCUGACAACUCCCUCCCUCCCCUGCCAGGAACAACCUCCCAAAGGAAACCCUGCCCUCAAGUCCUGGCCUCAGGAACCCAAAUUGCCUAGCAGGUAACACCCAACAAAGAGCAAGAGAGUGUCAGAUGGGAUGUGGGCCCGCCUCACACAAUCCUGAGGCUGGAACAGCAUCCAGACUGGAGAGCCGCUCGGCCCUUCCCCACGGCCAGGCUGAGAGGCGGGAGAGGUCUCCAGGGGCAGGUCAUGGAGACCAGCGUGCACCCUGCAGCUCUGCCCGCCACGUUACAAAAGUGCGUGUCUAUGCAGAGGCAGUACAAGAGGUCCAUGACAGCCUUGUUGUGGUUACUCACCGUUGCCCGGCUGGACAGAGUCCUGGUGUCCGCCCCCAGGAGAACUGCGGUGUGUCCGUGCAGUGUCGUCUACUCAGCAAGAGUAAGGAGCCAGAUACUAGUAAUGCCACAGCCACACGAGGAAAUCUCAAAAACAUUCUGCUGCAGGAAAUGAGCCCAGCACAGGAGAGUGUCUACUCCACGAUUCCAUUCUAUGAAGUUCUGGAAGGGGCAACGGUGAACUACAAUGAUAAAACCAGACAGUGGUCACCUUUGGCAUUGGGGGUGGGGAUUGAGUGGCAAGGGGUGGGAGGAAACGCUCUAGGGUGAUGGGAUGUUCCAUGUCUUGCACAGGGAGAUCAUCAAAUUGUCCUGUUAAGAUCCAUGCUCUUCACUGAAUGUACCUUACUCCAAAAAGAGAACUGAAAGCAAACAUUGACCUCCAGCUGAUGAUGUGCACGCCGAAGCGUUCCCUGAUAUCAGCAACUUCCAGUGCAACGCGUGGAGCAGUAAGAUGGAGGGGUGGGUGAGAGAGGGACAGAGAGGAGAGACGUGAGGAAGCAAAUGCAGCAGCAGGUGGAUGCUGGAGUCGGGGUGUAGGGAGGUGGGCGUUCGCUGAACAACUGUAUCAGCUUCUCUGUGUUGGGAAGUUUUCACAGUAAAAUGCUGGGGAGGAAAGGGGUGGAUCACGGUGCCAUGUCAGGAUCGGGACACAGCAGGCUGCAACAGGGGCUCAGAAGGGUCUAAGGGUGGAGGGCCUUGGUCAUGCUGAUGUUGAGGAAGGCUAACGAAGAACCAGAUUGGCAUGGUGCAAAGUGGUUGAGAGCACACCAUAAGCAAGUUGAGCCGUUGUCAUAGUCUAAGCCUGCUCUGAACCGAGGAGGAGGGUCGGUAAGAUGGAUGUGGCUUCAAGAGAAACAUGGAAUCCAAGGGGUGCCGGGCAUUGUUCACGCUGACGGGAGAACCUGGCCACCUGGCUCAGGACGCACACGCCAGCGGGUGGACAGACUGGAAUCCACGUCCAGUUCAGGGAGAGGAAGAGGAAAGGGAACCUUCACGCAUCAUUUGCAUUAAAAUGUCCCCAGCACACCUGGUGUGGUUUCAGAUGUGCUGGGCUCCUGGAGAGAGUUCUGUCACUCACUGGCAAAGGUAAGAAUGUGUGAGCCAAUUCUAAAACGUAAAAAGGAAUCCCCAGUAAGUACCCAUGGGUGGAACAAGACCCUCUUUGCAGACAACUGGUGUGUAAAAGUCUGCGUGCUGGUUUGCUUUUCCAAAGUGGUGUUUUCCCUUCUUUAAAGAGAAGAGCUUUUCUGGAUCUCCAUGGGGAGGGCCCCUGCUCGCACGACCAUAGCAACGUCCCGAGUGUAUGCUGGCAAAAUGCCAACUCGACAUGGGCGGUCCCAGCUGACCCACUCUGAGACCAGUCCUGGAUAACCGAGAAUGGGCUGGAGGGAGCCCACGGAACAACUUGAACCUGGACACUGAGGAUAGAAGGGGUUUAGGAAAUUCUCACCUUCAACAGAGAGACCAAGCACAAGGAUUGACCCCUAGAGCUUGGACGCCUGGCCUCUGACUGGGACACUUGGGUCCAGAUUCCCAGCACCCCAUUCCUGGCUGUGUGUGUCCCUCGGUUAACUCCUGUGCAGAGUGAUGAUGACUUCGCCUUCCCGGACCCUGCACUUACAGCGUGCGGCACAGCCUGCUCCUGGGCGCCCUCCGCAAAUGCUGUUUCUCCUGUUGAAGUCCUUGCUGGAUGAGGAAAAGCCAGAGGAUGAGCAGCCGAGGGACCUGACCCGGACCGAGGGACCUGACCCGGACCUGCGGAUGCCCCAGCCCAGAGCGUUCAGGCUCCAUGACUACCCCGCUGUGUCCACCCACACCCUGAGCUGCUGCCCCCAAGGGAGUCCAGAGCCGCUGCGUGCCCCAUGGCAGAAAAAAUGAAUAAAUAAGCUAAUCACAACAUUAAAGGUUUCUUUAAACGGGUGAGUGGCUAAGCAAUCGGAGGGCUGCCGUGCAGUGCGGGGAAGAACGCAGUGUUGGCAUUUCACAAAUUUCACAAACACGAUAUGGAGCCGAAGAAGCCAGGCUCCAUCAUAGACUCUAGGACAGACGAAAGUGAAUGGUGGUUCAGAGGUCAGGGUGGUGUCUGUCCGUGGGGGGACAGACUGGAGGGGCAGGAGGUGACGCGCGUGUGUCAUCAGCUCGAGAAACAACUUCCCAUCCCACGUGUGUCUCCUCGUGAAAGUUGGCUGCACAGUGCAAUCGUGAUUUGUGUCCUUUCCUGUGCGGAUGCUAUAUUUCAGUAAAGAGUUUCCCCAAUGCAGUGAUCCACAUGUUGUAACCUGGGAAAAUACCCCGGAAAGAUCAGAGGGUGAAAGCAAAGUGCUGCAAACAGUAAGAAUAGUACCAUCAGCGUGAAGAGUUCCAGGCUGGUGCUGGAACUGCCAUGUGAGGUCUUCAACACUACGCUUCUGCCCUGGCCCCAGAACCCCCUCCUCUGGACACUCUGCUUUGCCCCCUCCCACCACCAGACCCAGGGGAGCACCAGGCACAGCCCCUUAGCUCUGGCCAUAGUCCAGUCCCACCCGGCUGCUGCGCCCACCUCCUGGAGCAAGGUUUGUAAAGUAGAUAAAAAUCCAAGUUUUUUAAAAGACAAACAUACCAACAACACACACCAGCUAUUAACCAUGGGUGGGAGUAAGGGAGGAAUGCUGACUUCUUCAAUUUAAAAGAAAAGGAAAGGAAAGAAAGACUAUUUUCUACUUUUUUUGUUCGAGUUUUUAUUUUUCAAGUUAAAUAAGAAAUCAAUCAUUAAUUUAAGUUCUACACAGACAGUGGAUAGUUUUUUAAACUCUAUGGUAGCAAAUCUAUCUAAUGACUCCUAAGAAAUAGACCGAGUGGCCCUCACUUUUCAGGCAACAGGCCAGGAACCUCCCCCUUGGGCCUCGGAGAGCCGCGGGGGUCUGGGCGGGCACAGCUCCUCGAUCAAGAGCAUCUCCCAUGAGCACGGCUCCCUCUUGUCUCCGAGUGUGACGUCAGGGUAUCCUCCUGUCUGCGCAGGCUGAUAUGUCUCCCCUGACUUGUCUCUAAGACCCUGAGGCCAGACUGGGGGAGACUGUCUUCCCAGCUCUCAUAUCCUCGUGGCCCACAAAACCAGUGCAGAAGCACCUUUAGCAAAAGCACCGAGGAUGGAGAGUCUGGACAGAGAAUCUGGACCGAGCUCUGGUCUCUUCAUGAAAAACGUCACAAGAACACUGCGACAGAUGGAUGUUGUGCAGAGAUGGCCUUCCUGCAUGUGUGUAAGUGUGUGAUGUGUGCAAAUCUCCUCCCACAGGCUGCCCUCCACCUGAGAGGGAUGUUUGUUCCUACCCUUGAAGGUGGGCAGUGUAUGUGGAGAGUGUGGCUGGAAGGAUGCUGCCUGAUGGCCAAGGGGAGGCCACAAACGGCACACGGCUGCCCCGGGCUCUCUGAGGACUCUGGGCCGCCAUGCUGGGAGGAAGCUCCACUCACCCCCGUGGAGAGAACUGAGGUCCAGCCUGCAGCCGCAUGGAUUGUCAGACUUGUGAGAGAGUGACCACUCAGAUGCUCCAGCCCCCAGCCGUCAGGUCUCCCAGCUGAGGCCCAGCAUCCUGGACCAGAGACCAGCCGUCUCUGAAGAAUCCAUGGCUGUAACCAAUGGUUAUUUUCACCACUAGGUUUCCGGUGGUCCCCCGCCACCCCAGUUACCAACAGCUCCAGCCCACACUGGGGAGUGGCAGAGAGGCGGCACCCUCAAGCCUGCAAAGACGCCUUUUCAACGCCGGCCCGCCUGGCACUGGCACCAUCACCACCUCCUCCCCCACCCCAAGUGGCCCUGUGAUCACCACGUGGAAGUUCAGGCCCAUCCCAGGCCGUUCUGAAAAUGGCCAGCUCUCUCUGGCAGCUCCGAGAGCUAAAAGGACCCUUCAGUGAGACGUGAAGGAGCAGCCAUCUUUCCAUCAUGUGCCACCACAGGGUGUGACGAGGCCGGGUGCCGGCGAGGCAGAAGCUCCGGCCCCAGGGGGCCCCACGCUGUCCAGAGUGCCCUCCAGACCUGGGGGAGGGGGCAUAGCGAGCUGCCAGUGAAUGCACGGGGGCCCAAGGACAGCCAAUGUGCUGGCGCUGCCUCCUGCAGUGGACUUCUGGACACGGUGGAAAAAACAAGUUCUCAAACUACGCAUCAUGGUGAGGAACCAGUGUUUUCUGUUCUUUUAAUUCCAAUUCAUUGCAGGCUGGCACUUUUGUGAAAUGAACCACUAGAACAACGAUCAUGAGCUCGAAUGUGGCCCCACAUCACGUUGCUCUGAAAGUUUAUACUCACUCUCGAGCUCUGUGCUCACCCCUUCACGACCCAGUCUGCAUGCAGGCUGCACUCGUCUGCACCCCAGGCUUUGUGGUGCCUGGUGGAAACUCGCACCCCACGCCCAGUGUGAGGCAUUGGGGUGUCCACUCCACUCUGAGAGGCCCAGUCCGGGACUGUCAACUCCUGCACUGCAGCCUGCGUGAACUCACAGGAAGCAACCUUCGGCAGUUCCAAAAAUGGCCUGGGCAUAGAGAUGCCAGCAUGGGCAGCUGCAGAGUCCAGACACACAGAUCAGCGAGGCCCAGGGAGUGUGUAGGGCCCUGUGGUGUCUGCUCCAGCAAGGAGCCCCACCUGGGGGCCCUUCUGGAAGCUUCUGUGAGAGGAUUACUGAGGUGUUUUGGAGGAAAAACAGUGUGCAAUAGGUGAAUAAAGACGGAGGGGACCCCAGGAGGGUGAGCGUGCAAAGGGCAGGAAGUGAGAAAGGCCUGCAGUGGGGGGAGGGGAGUGUCACAGGUCCCAGGUCUGGUGUGUCCCUUGUGCAAUGCAGGAGAGGACUCUGGAGGCUGGGCUGGGGGCACACAAGUCCCUGGUCUCUGAGUGAGUGCCGGGCAGUCCCUCCAGCAGGGCGAGUGCCUGUGCCAUCAGCCGUCCUGUGUCUUCUCUCUUGGGGGGGACUGGGCCUGCAGGUGACCCCAGAACAUGACCCUGCCCUCCUGGGGGUUUCCCUCCGUAGUCACAGGUGAGGAUUCAGGGCCACUGCACUGCCCCGCGCCUCUCGGUCUCUCACUGAGCCGCCUCUCCAGCCCCUGGGUCCCUACGACCCAUUCCCAAGAAAGCCAUCGGGAAAACAGUGAAAUCCUGUUGGUGUCAGCAGUGGGCCCGCCGUCUGAUCGCACAUUUGAAACCCCCUCCUGCAUGUCGCUACUGAAGCUGCAUCAUCCAGCAGGACCUGGGAGGACCUGGCCGGGCAGGUGUCGGCGGUGGGCGAGGCAGGCAGGGUGGCAGGCCUUCCUGGUGCAGUAGGCAGCUUCGGUCUCUCUGAACAGGCCCCGGGAGUCAUUGAAGGCGACCAACGGGCCUGCGGGACAAGCACAUGUCGCCCACCCCUCCUGGACUGCAUGAGAUUCAAGCUUUCCCAUAAAAGAAGUCCACUCUUCGGGGACGUGCCAGACCCUUCUCAGAGACAUGCAGAGCCUAAGCUGCCCCCUCACCUGUCUCCCCGUGAAGCACCAUGCCCAGACCAGGCGAAUUCCAGAGCCUUCCAGCCCAUCAUCUCGGCAGAGGCCGGGCCGGGACCGCAUGGCUGCUAAAAAUGGCUGUUUCGCCCAACCCAGCUGAUAGAGACACAGGCUGACAUUUUUGUCAUAGCUGAACGAGGUCCAGGGCCAAAUUCCCUGCAGCUGCUUUCCACGGCUGCCUCCCGGCUCCACCCCGGCCUCGGCGCAUUCCUCACACCCAGAUCAGAAGCAGCUUCUGCUGCAGACGGGACGCGGGGUGGGGGCAAGGGGCAG